AUUGAACGCUGGCGGCAGGCCUAACACAUGCAAGUCGGGCGCGCGGCGGACGGGUGAGUAAUGUAUGGGGAUCUUCCUGAUGGAGGGGGAUAACUACUGGAAACGGUUGCUAAAUCCGCCUUCCAUCAGCUGGAACCAUAUGGGCUUAGGUUGUGGGGGAGGUAAAGGCUCACCUAGGCGACUAGCCCUAGCUGGUCUGAGCGGAUGAACAGCCACACGGGAACUGAGACACGGCCCAGACUCCUACGGUAGGCAGCAGUGGGGAAUAUGGGACAAUGGGCGCAAGCCUGAUGCAGCCAUGCCGCGUGUAUGAAGAAGGCCUUCGGGUUGUAAAGUACUUUCAGUCGGGAGGCGUGACCGACAGAAGAAGCACCGGCUAACUCCGUGCCAGCAGCCGCGGUAAUAC
rnacentral:rRNA from 1 species